rnacentral:lncRNA from 1 species
AUUUGUUUACCUGUUUUUUAGCUAUCUCACUAAAAUGUAAACUCCAUAGGACUCCAUAGGGGCCUGUCUGCCCCAUCUGCUGAGGACCCACAGUGUCCAAUCAUAGACGCCAGCUGCAAGCGAGCCUGAAAUUUAUGUUUGGACUGAAAAUACUUGCUCAAGUCUGACCUCCAUUGCUCUUCAUGAGAACACACUGACCACCUGGGCGAGCCUACGGCCAGUGCCACUGUCUGGCAAAAUCUCGGUGAGAUCAGAUCUGUGUCACUGCCCAGCCCUGCUUUUGACAUCUGCCUGUGCUUAUGAGCUCCCUGCUCCCUCUUUCCCCGUGAUCCUCUCCGACUGUGGAUAAAAUCCUCAGUCCUUUCCACUUUGACUCUUCCUUUUUGCCAGUAAGUUUCAAACCUACAACUCAAAUCCUGACCUUUCUCCUGAAACCAGAUACCUGUUUUUAAUUUCUAUUUCCAGGUUCAAUGAUCAGCUCACACUCAACAAGUCCGAAACAGAACUCAUCAGUCUCCUGGUACUGUUGAUGGCACUACCAUUGUGCCAGUCAUCUGCCCUUGACAAUCUCCACAUUAUUUGGGCUGCCCUUCUUUCCCUCAUCCUCCAUGUACACUGAGUCAUGGAGCAAAAUCCCUUUCCUUCAUAAUGUCUGCGUGUGCCAGAAGCUGCGUGAGCUUCUGAAGGUAGAACAAAAAUCAAGAUGUGAUCCCUGACUUGAAGAGUUUGGAUCCUACCAGAGGAACAAUCCAAGGCAGAAAGUGCUGAGUGCCACAUCAGCGGCAGCAGAGAAAGGACUAAGGGAGCCUGUGCCCGGGCUGGAGAGAAGAACACAGUGGUUCCAUGCUCAGGUACUGUAUAGUCUUGGGUUUGAACCCUGACUCCGUAACAGAAUAUCUGUAGAUCUUUGGCAAAUUUUUUAACCUCUCUAGGCCUCACUUUCCUCACGUGGGGAAUAAAGAUGGAUAGUAGAACUUGCCUGACAGGGUAUUGCGAGACUCAAAUGAAACAUUUUCAUGAAUCCCUUAGCAUCAUUUUAGUCAUCACUGCAAACGUGGUAGAUGGAUGCGUUAAUGACCCCCCUGUAUCCAUGUGCUUUCCAAUGGGACUUUGCAGCUCUUCCCAUUGUAAAGUGGACUCCAUUUCCCCACCCUUGAAUCUGGGCUGGCCUUAUGACAUUCUUUGGCCAACAGAAUGUGGCAGAAGUGAUAGUGUGCUAAUUGUCAGUCUAGGCCUCAAGAGGCCUAGCACAUUUCCACUUUCUCUCGGGACCUCUGCCUUUGCCAUAAGAACAAGCCCAGGAGAGCUGCUGGAGGAUAAGAGACCUUGUGGAGUAGAGAGGAAACUCCCCAGAGGAGGCCCUCUUAGACCAACCAAUCUGCCAGUUGUCUACAGAGACAUGAAUGCGUCCAGCUAAGAUCAGAA